UUCUUUCGGGUCUGUAGUUGCGGAGGGCAACCUCCAAGCCCAUGGCAGAUGCGGUCAAAAGGGUCCACGUAAGCUGCGUUUCGGCGCAUGCGAGCAUGGCGUAUCCUAGAAGUAAGUCGUACCUUCCGGUCGUUUCCGCGGCCAUCCAGGCCGCCUGGAAGAGAGGGUGGAGCGGCGACGCGAAUCCCCGGUGCGCGAGUGUGGGGGCAAAGACUAGGUCAGCCGAAAGAA
rnacentral:ncRNA from 24 species